GGGUCAGGAGGUUGGUCGUGCCACCGGUACGUACUGGUCUCACUAAUUCCUCCUUCCUGAAGAACCGUAAUGCCAUUAAUUCGGUGUUGCGGGGAAACAGGACUGUUACUUUGAAAAAAUUAGAGUGUUUAAAGCAAGCUAACGCUUGAAUACAUUAGCAUGGAAUAACGAAAUAGGACGAUCGAUCCUAUUUUGUUGGUUUCUAGGAUUGACGUA
rnacentral:rRNA from 1 species